rnacentral:rRNA from 1 species
CAUUUAAAGUGGUACGCGAGCUGGGUUUAGAACGUCGUGAGACAGUUCGGUCCCUAUCUGCCGUGGGCGCUGGAGAAUUGAGGGGGGCUGCUCCUAGUACGAGAGGACCGGAGUGGACGCAUCACUGGUGUUCGGGUUGUCAUGCCAAUGGCACUGCCCGGUAGCUAAAUGCGGAAGAGAUAAGUGCUGAAAGCAUCUAAGCACGAAACUUGCCCCGAGAUGAGUUCUCCCUGAGACUAUAAGUCUCCUGAAGGAACGUUAAAGACGAUGACGUUGAUAGGCCGGGUGUGUAAGCGCAGCGAUGCGUUGAGCUAACCGGUACUAAUGAACCGUGAGGCUUAACCUUACAACGCCGAAG